UUAAUAAUUUGGCAAAAUACAGGAAACUGUAUGACGCAAAGCUAUAGGGUCUAAAAUCAAAAGGAGAAAUGUUUUGGUUAUCUGACAGCCAGUUGUAUUU
rnacentral:ncRNA from 1 species